AUUACUACAAAUAUAACAAAUACGUGAAAUAAGUUAUUGACUGCUUAAUAUCUGCCAGGUACUGAGCUACAUUUCACCUACGUAAGAAUCUUAUACGAUAUCUUAUCUUACAUGAUCACUGACAUUUAUGUGACAGGUACAGUUUUAAUACUUAAAACAAACCUGUACGUUAGGUACUGUUGAUAUCCAUGGUUUACAGUUGCUGAAACCAAGGCUAAUGGAAGUUGGUAACUUAUCCAAGAUUUUACAGAACGAAUAAAUGGAAGAAUAAGGCUUUGGUCCUGGCUAUAUUGUCUCUAAAAGCUCAGUUGCGUGUAUAUUAUGCCCACAACUUCUCAGUUAAUUGUCCCGACCAAUGUUACACAAUUUAUGAGCAACAAGGCUGACAUUCAAACUCCUGUGUUUUGACUUCAGGACCUACACUCUGAACCUCUGCCAGGCCAUCAAUGUGUAAGUAAAACAGAACAGACAGUACUUGGUGCUGUGAGACGUACAAAGGGGAGAUCUACUCCAGAGAAGGUGUCCAUCCAGGAGGGAUGCGAGGAUGCAACAGGUGCUCUCUCAACUUUAAGUGUGAAAAAAAUUAGGAAACUGAUAUGGGAGACUUCUAUUUCUGCUCAGUAUCUGUGAGGAAUCUGCAUAUUGGAUUUGUGUGUUUAGAGGUUUCAGUGAAGAGCCUUUAACCAACAUUAAUUAGUGAAUUGGGGGGAAAAAAAAGAGAUCUUUGGUCAUCUGACAGGAACAUUUGCCAACCACCAGUUUCCAACACCUUGGUCCUGGAUCCUGUCUUUUUGGGAGAGAAGGUGGGGAAAACUCAGUUUGAUGCCAAUGUUUUCAGGUAAACUGAGCUGUCUUUUAUUAUCAAUUUAUGGAGUAAUUAA